rnacentral:misc_RNA from 1 species
GGAAGUCAAAGUCGUAACAAGGUUUCCGUAGGUGAACCUGCGGAAGGAUCAUUAUUGUAUAACCGAGGUGCGAGGGCUGUCGCUGACCCGAAAGGUCGUGCACGCCCGAGUGCCCUCACACACAUCCAUCUCACCCCUAUGUGCACCACCGCGUGGGUCCCCCUUUGGCUUGUUCGGAGGGGGGCUUACGUUUUCACACAAACUUUGUAUGCAGUGUAGAAUGUAUUUUUUGUUUUUGCGAUCACGCAAUCAAUACAACUUUCAACAACGGAUCUCUUGGCUCUC